UUGGGUAAGUCCCGCAACGAGCGCAACCCUCGCCCUUAGUUGCCAUCAUUAAGUUGGGCACUCUAAGGGGACUGCCGGUGAUAAGCCGAGAGGAAGGUGGGGAUGACGUCAAGUCCUCAUGGCCCUUACGGGCUGGGCUACACACGUGCUACAAUGGCGGUGACAGUGGGCAGCAAAGGGGCGACCCCGAGCUAAUCUCAAAAAGCCGUCUCAGUUCGGAUUGCACUCUGCAACUCGAGUGCAUGAAGGUGGAAUCGCUAGUAAUCGCAGAUCAGCACGCUGCGGUGAAUACGUUCCCGGGCCUUGUACACACCGCCCGUCACACCAUGGGAGUUGGUUUUACCCGAAGGCGCUGCGCUAACCCGCAAGGGAGGCAGGCGACCACGGUAGGGUCAGCGACUGGGGUGAAGUCGUAACAAGGUAACCA
rnacentral:rRNA from 1 species